AGAAACCAUCCGGCGCAAAAGAUUCCUUCUGAAGAGAAAUAUGAGCGAAACACCAUGUAUUCUGAAGUACUCGGCAAUCUGUUCAUGAUGCUGCAUCAAUCCCUGUAUUAAGCAUUCGCUCCUUUUAGACACCAAAAUGUUCCUAACCGUUGCAAGAAAGGAAAUUCAAAUAUAGGGAAUCAAAUGAAUUAGCCUCAUUCAUAAGAAUUUAAUUUAGCAUCAUCAAGUGUCCUUGCCAAAGAAUGGGCAACUUAUAUACAAUAGUUCAGUGAACAUGUUGAGAAAUAUUAUCAGUAGAGAUUGUUGUAGCAUCAGAAAUUGUGUCCACUGGCCUGUAGUAAGAAAUAUGGUCAUGCUUAAAUUAUCUUUUCAAAUAUUUGAGCUUAUUUGAAAAUAGACAUGCAGUUAGCAACUUCUAUAUUUUUAGGAAGAUAAAAACAAUUAGACAAGAGACAAGUCGUAGUUCAUUCUCAACCAGUUUUUGUUAUUAUACUUUCUUCUAAAUCUAAUGAGGUUGUAGAGUUGGCUCAUACACUCGAGCAUUCUACUAAGUAACAUUCAGAGAAACUCCAAGAACCAUCCAUCAUAUGCAAAACCAUUCAAACAUAAAAAAGAACACCGAUCUUCAUUGAACCUUCAUCAGCAUAUGUUAUGUAAACAUUUCUUAACUUACACAAAUCGUCUAGGAAGGAGAAAAAUACAUGGCAAA